rnacentral:rRNA from 1 species
GACGUAGGGCGCGAGCGUUGUCCGGAUUUAUUGGGCGUAAAGAGCUCGUAGGCGGCUUGUCGCGUCGUUCGUGAAAACCUGCAGCUCAACUGCAGGCUUGCGGUCGAUACGGGCAGGCUAGAGUUCGGUAGGGGAGACUGGAGUUCCUGGUGUAGCGGUGAAAUGCGCAGAUAUCAGGAGGAACACCGGUGGCGAAGGCGGGUCUCUGGGCCGAUACUGACGCUGAGGAGCGAAAGCGUGGGGAGCGAACAGG